CUUAGCGAGACUGCCGGUAAUAAACCGGAGGAAGUGGGAUGACGUCAAAUCAUCAUGCCCCUUAUGACCUGGGCUACACACGUGCUACAAUGGUUGGUACAACGAGUUGCGAGUCGGUGACGGCGAGCUAAUCUCUUAAAGCCAAUCUCAGUUCGGAUUGUAGGCUGCAACUCGCCUACAUGAAGUCGGAAUCGCUAGUAAUCGCGGAUCAGCACGCCGCGGUGAAUACGUUCCCGGGCCUU
rnacentral:rRNA from 1 species